CUCCUGCGAGAUUAUAGAGGAUCUAUGAAUUGCAGCCCUGAAAAUUUCCCCUGCCUGCCAGAAAUAAGCAUGAAGAAGUGGAGAAAAAAUUAAAGAUGAGAAUUCUAUUUUCAGACCCUGGUAAAGGAGGUUCCAGUUUGAGAGAAGCUAUGAAAAAAAAAAAUGUUCCCAAAUCAGUAACUGAGUCUUCUGUCAUUCAGCUUGCUUCCAGUUCACGCCUGCCUCGGCUAAGGCAGGGAUGCCACCAGAGCCCAGGUUUAGCAUCCGUAUCCUCCUUUUCCAUUAGCUGUCAUACCAACUCCUCUUUUACAUGGGCUCUGCUUUAUGCUCUUUGUCCCUUCCCCUCUCCCCUGCAGCCCUGCAACUCCCUUCUACCCUACCCACCCCCCUCCCCCACCUCAGGUCUCUUUAUUCCCUAUGGUUCUGCUGGAAGACUGAGAUACUAUAAUAAAAACAUUUACUGAAUGCUUUUUGUGUGUUCAUUACUGUUUUAAGUGCUGUAUACAUCUCAAGCCAAUAAACCCUCAUAUAGACUCUAUGAGAGAAGUACUAUUAUCCUCCCAAUUUGAUAGGUGAGAAACAUUAGGAAUUUAAAUAAGUUCCCCGAGGCCAUAUAUGUAAAGACAGAGCACAGAUUUGAACUAAAUUAGUCUGAGUCUAGAGCUUAUAUGAUUCAGCUCUACACAUGACAAUUAAUGCUGAGGUGUACACGAAUGCUCCUAGCUUAGUGUGCCAUCCUUUCCGGUCAGAUCUGGAUUUUAUGAUGAUUCCCAGAUAUGGUAUUUCUAGAUUCUAGAACCGGGGGAGGGUAUCCAAGAGGCACCCAGGCCUUUCAUAAUAACCCUCCAAACAUAUCGUUAGAUUGCGUCUUCCUUUCUUUCUUCUAUUAUUUUGUUAAUUGUCAAAUGACUUGCUUUUAUUUUAUUUAUGGCAGCAUUACUUUCAUCUAUACAACAACUCUUUCUGCUUCUGAAUUUCUAACUUACGAUGAAGCUGGUAUUUCAGAAUUAGGGAGGAUGUUGUUGCUAGAUAGACAAAUUUGCUAGCCGUCAUUUAAUCUAUCUGUAUGUUUUUUUCUCAGCCCUAUUGGCCUCAUAGAAGAAAGCAGAGAGUUACCCAUAGUCACCAGGGAUGCACACUAAGUUUGAAGAGAUUUAUUCUGGAAAUUAAUAAUGAUCUCAUAUUGCAGAUGAGAGCUCUGAAGCUAGAGAGGUGUGUAAUGAUAGAAACUCCUUGAGGCAAAAAUCAAGUUUUCAGCUGCUUAUGGCGACUGCUUAUGGAUCAAUAAAUUCUGGCUCAAAAGAUCUGCUUGGACAUCAUGAAAACAUGGGGACGUUGCCAAGAAGUGUGAUUCAGCCAUCAAAACUUGGGUAUAAGGAGAAGAGAAUGCGCCAAGUGGGUAUUCCCAAGUGUUAGAUUGGAUUGGAUUCUAAUUUACUAGUGGUUCCAUUGUGUUUGUGAAAAGUACAAAUUCCUGAAUUAUUGUCUCAGAAAUUAUAUUUCAUAGGUCUGAGGUAAGGCUUUGGAAUCUGCAUUUUAGCAAACUUCCUGGGUGGUUCUGAUGAAGUGGUUCUUAGCACUAUAAUUAGUUGCUUAUUAGCUAACACUAUUAGCUAUCAUGCAUAUUAUUUAUUAGACUAUUGGUUGGUAAUUAGCCAACACUAUUGCUCUGAGAAUUUUAAGGGACAGGCUGGCAGAUAGCCCAGAGCACUGACAGCACAAUUUGGAGCCAGUACUACUAAGGGAAUUCAAAUAAGUGAAAAAUACCUUGUAGGCAAGAAAAGUGUGGAAUGAAUUAGAAAGUUUUUAUUUUUUUUUCCCAAAGCUAUUCAAAGGGUGGAAUAAUGACCUGCUAAAGUGAAAAUUAGGUUGUGAAAGCCAAGGCAUGGAUUAUUUUAGGGGGAUGGUUAUUGGGCGCCUGGGUGGCUCAGUCAGUUAAGUGUCCAACUUUGGCUCAGGUCAUGAUCUCACAG